rnacentral:rRNA from 1 species
UACGAAGGGGGCUAGGGUUGUUCGGAAUUAAUGGGCGAAAAGCGCGAGUAGGCGGGCCGUUAAGUCGGGGGUGAAAGCCCAGAGCUCAACUCUGGAACUGCCUUCGAUACUGGCGGCCUGGAGCAUGAUAGAGGCGAGUGGAAUUGCGAGUGUAGAGGUGAAAUUCGUAGAUAUUCGCAGGAACACCAGUGGCGAAGGCGACUCGCUGGAUCAUUGCUGACGCUGAGACGCGAAAGCGUGGGGAGCAAACAGG